GCUUAAUUUUAAAAGGCAAAGUCAGCUAAUUCAAUCAGCCACUUUAUUUACCCCAAUUCAUUUAAACGGUGAGCAUACACUUCUAAAAAUUAGGCCUAUCUUCAAAGAAGGAAGAUUUAGCCCCGGUUAAUCUUGCUAUGGACAGUUUGCCAUAGAGAUGUCUGUGAUAUUUAGAGACAGCAACUGAUGGAAUAGAUGGGUAGCUUCUGUUACGUCUUCCUUUUUAAAGCAUGAGCUCUCCUAAAAGCAAGGUUGGCAUAUCUGCCACAGACAUCGUGUGGGAGCCUCCACCGUUUCAACGUGUGCAUACGUAAUCCUGAGAGGAGUUGCUAACUGGCCUGGCUGUUUAAGUCCACAAUGGUAAACAGUGGGAGAAUAGCCCUGACCUGCGCAUCUGCCAAGAAUUCAUAUCAUAGCUAUUCAGCAUGUCUGUGACAUGGAUACAAGGCACAACCCUCAUCUUCCUACAGAAGCCAGAGACUAAUCCACAACUUGACACAACCUACAGUCACCUGGGAAGAGAGUAUCAAUCAUGUGAUGAUCAGCCAUGAAUGACCAUGAAGCUUUAAGAACUCCAGAGUCACUUGAAGAUAUGAGAGUUAAGACCAAAAUUCGUAAAUAUUUACUGAUGGUUUGAAUGAGAACUGCCCUCAUAGGCUCAUGUAUUUGAAUGCUUGGUCCCUAGUUGGUGGACCUCUUUGGAAGGGUAAGGAGGUGUGGCCUUGCUGGAGGAGGUUUGUCACUGGGGGUGGGCUUUGAGGUUUCAAAAGCUUACACCAAAUCUAGUCUCUCACUCUCUGCCUCCAACUUGCAGAUCCAAUGUAAGCUCUCAGCUACUGCUCAGUGCCAUCCUUGGCUGCCUGCUAUGGUCAUGGGCUCACCUUCUGAAACUGUAAGCAAGCCCCCAAAUAAAUGCUUUCUUCUAUAAGUUUCCUUACUCGUGGCGUUUCUUCCCAGCAACAGAAAAGUAACUAAGACACCUGCCAACUAUGUCCCAGACAUGUGGGUGGCUCCAAACUCAGAGAGAACCCAGAAACUCAAGGAGUGGAUAACCAAGUGCCCUGAUAGCUCCAAAUAGGAGCUCGGGGGGGCUGUCCGUGAGCCUCAGUGGCUGAACAUGUGCUUUGCAUGCCCAGAUCCAGGAUUUAAUCCACAAUAAAACACAGAGAUUUGUUUCUGAAGAACUGCCUUGAACAUCUCACUGAAGUCCAUUGCUAGCCCCUUGCUCACUGCCCUGAGCUCUCCCAGUACUUGGCACCCUUCAUUUGCAACUCAUAUUUCAAAGUGAAACCCGCUAAGCUUAGUCAACAGGCACAGGAUUAGCCUACUUUGGGGCUGCAGGGACAGCUAGGAGGCAACGGCUCACGGCAUCAAAGUUCUCAAGACAGCGGGUUGAACUUGCAGGGUCACUGC